rnacentral:rRNA from 1 species
GACGAACGCUGGCGGCGUGCUUAACACAUGCAAGUCGAACGGAAAGGCCCUGCUUUUGUGGGGUGCUCGAGUGGCGAACGGGUGAGUAACACGUGAGUAACCUGCCCUUGACUUUGGGAUAACUUCAGGAAACUGGGGCUAAUACCGGAUAGGAGCUCCUGCUGCAUGGUGGGGGUUGGAAAGUUUCGGCGGUUGGGGAUGGACUCGCGGCUUAUCAGCUUGUUGGUGGGGUAGUGGCUUACCAAGGCUUUGACGGGUAGCCGGCCUGAGAGGGUGACCGGCAACAUUGGGACUGAGAUACGGCCCAGACUCCUAAGGGAGGCAGCAGUGGGGAAUAUUGCACGAUGGGCGGAAGCCUGAUGCAGCAACGCCGCGUGCGGGAUGACGGCCUUCGGGUUGUAAACCGCUUUCGCCUGUGACGAAGCGUAAGUGACGGUAAUGUGUAAAGAAGCACCGGCUAACUACGUG